rnacentral:rRNA from 1 species
GGAAAAGGAUGUGGCGUUGCCCAGACAACUAGGAUGUUGGCUUAGAAGCAGCCAUCAUUUAAAGAGUGCGUAAUAGCUCACUAGUCGAGUGACACUGCGCCGAAAAUGUACCGGGGCUAAACAUAUUACCGAAGCUGUGGAUUGUCCUUUGGACAAUGGUAGGAGAGCGUUCUAAGGGCGUUGAAGCAUGAUCGUAAGGACAUGUGGAGCGCUUAGAAGUGAGAAUGCCGGUGUGAGUAGCGAAAGACGGGUGAGAAUCCCGUCCACCGAUUGACUAAGGUUUCCAGAGGAAGGCUCGUCCGCUCUGGGUUAGUCGGGUCCUAAGCUGAGGCCGACAGGCGUAGGCGAUGGAUAACAGGUUGAUAUUCCUGUACCACCUAUAAUCGUUUUAAUCGAU